rnacentral:lncRNA from 1 species
GUAAAAGUUCGGCCUGACCCGGGAGCCGAGGAGGCCGGGCUGGCCGAAAGGACCCCGCCCACGAACGCGGCCCACGCGAGGCCCCUCCCUCCCCAGCGCCGAGGACGCGCUUGUCCCAAGCGGGCAUGGCGCGGGGUCCGGGGAGAGAGUGAGGACUCGGAGCUGUGGCCCGCGGACCUCCCCGCCCCCACACCCUGGCCCAGCCUCGGUACGUUCUGUCCCCGUCCCCACCACACGCGGUCUCCAGGGCCCGGCACCUGACUCCAGGCCCUGCUGCGGCCGCUGCGCCCUGGCGUCCGGAUGAGCUGUGGGCUGCCUGGGUCGGCAGGGGCCCUGGGGCAGGAGAAGGGAGGGGAGAGGGGCCAAGGUUCCACCCACCAGGGCACCUGCGGGCGCACUGGCUCCAGGACCACAGGUGCAAGCACUGACGGGGCCCCAGGCCAGCACUCCACGGAGAGUCCGGUCCCAGGAGGGCUGCGCGGCAGGUGCGGGGCCGCCCUGCGUCUGGCUGUGGGGUGCCCGUGGGGUUCUGCCCCUCGGGUAUUCUCCCUCCUGGGGAAAAGGAGCUGCAGACAGCCUGCCCUGGGGUCAGUCAGUAGGGUCGGCCCAGGUAGCAGAAGGCGAGCAGGUUGCUCACUGGCCGGUGGGUGGGGAGUGGGUGCCCCCUUCCUCCCAUCCACAGCUCAGGCCCUCGUCUCUGGGGACCUCGGGGCACCGCGUGGAGGAGCUCUGGCCUGUGGGGAGGGGUCUGCAGUGGGAAUGGGCAGCCAGGCUGGGGGCACCGUCGGGGCGUCUCCACCACCUCGGCGCCCACGUUGGGUUUUGCGGGGGCUUCCCAAGUGGGCCCCUGGGUGGGCGCCCACGCCCCAUGCGCCUCCCUGCGCCCCAAGCGGGCAGAGUCCUCCAGGUUCCUGGCCCUCAGGCAGCCGCACCCUCCCUGGUCCGUGGGAUCCCGUACAAUGCCCUGAGCUCCUCUCCUGGACCCUCCUACCUGGGCCCGCCGCCCCCACCUCGGGCUGCGCGACCACCUGCGGACACCCUCCUCUCGCAGCCCCACUGCGGCCCUCUCGCAGCCGGGACCCCCUUCCUAGCUUUGCGCAUCCCCAGACCCCGGCCUCACCGCCCCCAGCCUCCUGUGUCCCUCUAGCGCUGCACCCCUACCUCCUCCAGUCCGGCUCUGCGUCCCCGCGAGGUGCUGGGUCCCUUCCCACCCCCGCCUCCUCCCUGGUCCCACUGGAGGGGCAGGCAGGGCUGGGGCCAAGUCUCCACACCUGAGG